rnacentral:rRNA from 1 species
GAUGAACGCUAGCGGCAGGCCUAACACAUGCAAGUCGAGGGAGGAGCCUUCGGGCUUCGACCGGCGUACGGGUGCGUAACGCGUAUACAAUCUGCCUUUCACAUAGGGAUAGCCCGAAGAAAUUUGGAUUAAUACCUAAUGGUAUAUAGAUGUGGCAUCACCUUUAUAUUAAAGCUGAGGCGGUGAAAGAUGAGUAUGCGUUCUAUUAGCUAGUUGGAGAGGUAACGGCUCCCCAAGGCGACGAUAGAUGGGGGUUCUGAGAGGGAUAUCCCCCACACUGGUACUGAGAUACGGACCAGACUCCUACGGGAGGCAGCAGUGAGGAAUAUUGGACAAUGGUCGGAAGACUGAUCCAGCCAUGCCGCGUGCAGGAAGACGGCCUUAUGGGUUGUAAACUGCUUUUGCAGGGGAAGAAUAAGGACUACGCGUAGUUUGAUGACGGUACUCUGCGAAUAAGCAUCGGCUAACUCCGCG